GCGCCCGAUCUCGUCUGAUCUUGGAAGCUA
rnacentral:rRNA from 1 species